rnacentral:rRNA from 1 species
GACGAACGCUGGCGGCGUGCUUAACACAUGCAAGUCGAACGGAAAGGCCCUGCUUUUGUGGGGUGCUCGAGUGGCGAACGGGUGAGUAACACGUGAGUAACCUGCCCUUGACUUUGGGAUAGUUUCAGGAAACUGGGGCUAAUACCGGAUAGGAGCUCCUGCUGCAUGGUGGGGGUUGGAAAGUUUCGGCGGUUGGGGAUGGACUCGCGGCUUAUCAGCUUGUUGGUGGGGUAGUGGCUUACCAAGGCUUUGACGGGUAGCCGGCCUGAGAGGGUGACCGGCCACAUUGGGACUGAGAUACGGCCCAGACUCCUACGGGAGGCAGCAGUGGGGAAUAUUGCACAAUGGGCGGAAGCCUGAUGCAGCAACGCCGCGUGCGGGAUGACGGCCUUCGGGUUGUAAACCGCUUUCGCCUGUGACGAAGCGUGAGUGACGGUAAUGGGUAAAGAAGCACCGGCUAACUACGUG